rnacentral:rRNA from 1 species
AGCGAACGCUGGCGGCAGGCCUAACACAUGCAAGUCGAACGAACUCUUCGGAGUUAGUGGCGGACGGGUGAGUAACACGUGGGAACGUGCCUUUAGGUUCGGAAUAACUCAGGGAAACUUGUGCUAAUACCGAAUGUGCCCUUCGGGGGAAAGAUUUAUAGCCUUUAGAGCGGCCUGCGUCUGAUUAGCUAGUUGGUGAGGUAAUGGCUCACCAAGGCUACGAGCAGUAGCUGGUCUGAGAGGAUGACCAGCCACAUUGGGACUGAGACACGGCCCAAACUCCUACGGGAGGCAGCAGUGGGGAAUCUUGAGCAAUGGGCGAAAGCCUGACGCAGCCAUGCCGCGUGGAUGAUGAAGGUCUUAGGAUUGUAAAAUCCUUUCACCGGUGAAGAUAAUGACUGUAGCCGGAGAAGAAGCCCCGGCUAACUUCGUGCCAGCAGCCGCCGUAACAC